UGCCUCUUCUCUCCGUCCUGUCUCUCAUACUCUCUGCUCAGUGCCACUCUGGGAGCCAGUCGCGGCCUGGCCCACCCCAUCAGCAGCCCGCCCAGCUUCCCGCCUGUCACUGCCACUCCAACUCCAGUAAAAAGUGACGUCCCCCUAGUUCAGGACGCCGCAGGUAACUCGCACACACAUUCUCAGCAGUAUCUGUCACCCCACCCGAUCCUUGAGACUGUGGUCCAGGACCUGACCCUUUUCUGUGGCCAGCUCAGUCAAGGACAGGUGUUUUUGGUGGUAGCUGGGGCCAAACAAAGCUGCAUCCUGAUGGCCAAGCACUCCUGAGACCAGAAAGCCUGGCUCCUAUCCCAAAGACAGCUCCUUGUGACUCCUGCUCAGACCAGAGCAUUGCUGCCAGCCAUUUGCCCCUGCUCAGCAACUGGUCAGCCCAGAGUAGGCAUGCCAGAUUCCAGCUGGCUGCUCAGGGUGGCCUCACCUUGGGCCUGGGCAGAACAGAGCCUGUCCCUGUGGCUCUCAGGUGUUCAGCUUCCCACCCAGAUUCGAGGGUCUUGAUCUGGCCCCACCCCUCCCUUAAAGCUGAGCCAGGGGAAGAAACCUCUGGAGCCUCAGGCCUCGGGCUGUGCUCUGUGAUAGAAGCUCUUCCUGCCCCAACUCCAUAUCUGGAGUCCCACGGGGAGGGUCUGCUGGCCCCUCACCUUGCAGACGGCAUACCACCUUCCAUGCAUUGUCACCUCACAUUGUGCCUGAGCAUGGCUUUGUGCCAGGCCCCGGUGGCUGUGGCAGUAAGUACAUGGGUUCUGCCCAUUGAGAGCUGUCACCCUGUGACUUCAGAC
rnacentral:lncRNA from 1 species